GGAGCACUGGACGGCAAUCUAACCGAUCGUCGUUGACCCAGCAAUCAAAGUGGCAAGGUCAAUGGACAGUUUUGUGGUGGACAAACUAACUCGAUGGCAGCUGACAGACCUUAUUGAUAUUUUUAAAGACAGUUUGGGAGUUUCUCCAAGAUGGAGUGUACGGAAUGGAAGGAGAUGAGUCUAAACCUGUUAAGUUUUUACGUGCAGCAAUACUUGCUUGUAAAUAGACAGUGGAUGUGUUUGUUUGUUUUGUUCUGCUGAGAGUUGACAUCGACCUUGUUAAAUCACAGAUCUGGUUUUAAGUUUCAAUUGUGAUAUGUAUAUAUGUAUGUAUAUAUUUGCUUCAUGCUCAGAGUCAUUUAUUUUUGUUUCAAAUGGAUAUUUGAAGAAUCUUUUCUGAUAUUAUAUUAUAAUAAAUGUUCUACCACUCUUUAAAAUUGUUUGUCUUUUAAUGUAACUGUU